AACCUAAAACAGAAACAAAUUAAACAUCUUGCAGCACAAUUGUCUGUUGAACAGCAGCUCUACUCUAAAGAAAUUACUGAGGCUUGUGUUUGCUCCGAUCAAGCCAGAAGAGCUGAAGCAUUCCAAAGUAAGAUCCUGGAUUGCAUUAAAUGCUACCUGGCCUGUGCACCUUUAUCGCUGAAGGCGUUCGAGUUAAUGUUGUUCAAAACAAGUUGGCACCUGUUAAAGCACUGCUUUCCAAUCAAACGCUUUACCUUUAAAAAGAACUUCACGAAUGAGUUCCUGCUGUCACGUCUUGCAUGGACAGCAAAAACUUUGUCUUCGGCAAGAAGUGGAUAAUCAUUGGGCUUUGAGAGAUUCUCUUCACGCCUGAUUUGCAAAAAUUACCCCACAACGACGAAUAAUUGCAAGACUCGUGUCGCGGUUGUUCUGUUGAGCGCUGGGCAACGACAAAAUGCCAUUGGCGUCAUUUUACCACGCCCUCGUUGGAUCAUCCAAAUUGGGAACGGAAUUGAUCAAAGCCUUCAUUAUUCCGAAAAUACGAACGAUAUAGGUGGACGCAUCGAACUUUACUUGGAUGGAACAGGGCAGGCCAAUGCCGAUCGGAUAGCAGCCUCCCACAUCAAGCAAUUGACGAUCUCAUGAAAGUGACGCGCCAAUCGCCUGAUAACAUUGACGAUUACCGUCAGGAGUUCGGGUAACUUGGGCCGGCUCUUCACGGUGCCGUAAAUAGAGCCCGAUCUCAGAACACAACUUCGGCGGCGUCGUCUACUGGCAUUUCAUCAGCUGCAUGAUCACUGUUGUAAUUUUCUAAUCCAAAUGUGCUAGCCGACAACCUCCGAUCGCUGCGUCAUACAGUUUUCGUCGACGAUUUGGAUGUCACUUUGUCAGAAGAAGAGGAUGUGAAUCAGGACUACUUGUCAAAAUUUUUGGCGAGGAUCUCUGCACUGACGUCUUAAAAACUACUAUUUCAUGCUUAACGGACCCUCUACUUAAUCGCGACCUUGUUUUAAUGUUACUCGAUUUCGUCUUUUUGCAAAUCCUCCCAAUAUGUGCUUUCCAACAUAUGUGUUGUUUGUCGAAGCUUGUGUACUGAAAUCUUGAAUUGAACUCAAUGUUUCGAAACGUUAGUUGACAUGCCGCUGCAAGAUUUCGGUUAGGGGAAAAACAUUCAUUCUAAACUGAAUGAAAGCAGACCUGAAAAAUUCAGAAGCACACGGUUCAACCUCGCCAGCAUGAUAUAUUACUUUUAAUUCGGAUAAACGCCUGUGUAACCGACGAGAAAUACAAUUCU
rnacentral:lncRNA from 1 species